rnacentral:lncRNA from 1 species
CGACCUGGUGAUGUAGAUUUUAAGAACUUAAGACAUGAUAAGUAAUUGGAAAAGGAAGCAGUAAAGGUGAUCUAUACUAUCUUUACAUGACUAAGUCUUUUGAACCCUCUCUCUCUCUACUUGCUUUGAGUAGUAGCUGUGGGUGAUUGCACUUUAUGGCUUGUGAUGCAAGCUCAAAUUACCCUAGACCUAACUUUUUUUCUCAAAUAAGAGAUCAAUUGCAAUACUUGGGGAUGAAAUCCACAUGG